CGCGGUAAAACAGCAGGGUAAGAGAGUUAUUGGGUAAUAACUUGGAUUAAAGUGUGUGGCAGGCGUGUUGUCCAGGUUCAGAUGUUAAAUUCCGAUGCUUACUCCUGGGAAUUGAGUUUGAAAUGGGGUGGCUAGAGUUGGGCAGAGGGGGGUGGAAUUCCAUGUGUAGCAGUGAAAUGCGUAGAGAUGUGGAGGAACACCAAUGGCGAAGGCAGCCCCGUGGGUCAAAACUGACGCUCAGGCACGAAAGCGUGGGGAG
rnacentral:rRNA from 1 species